rnacentral:rRNA from 1 species
GACGAACGCUGGCGGCGUGCCUAAUACAUGCAAGUAGAACGCUGAAGGAGGAGCUUGCUUCUCUGGAUGAGUUGCGAACGGGUGAGUAACGCGUAGGUAACCUGCCUGGUAGCGGGGGAUAACUAUUGGAAACGAUAGCUAAUACCGCAUAAUAGCAGUUGUUGCAUGACAACUGUUUGAAAGGUGCAAUUGCACCACUACCAGAUGGACCUGCGUUGUAUUAGCUAGUUGGUGGGGUAACGGCUCACCAAGGCGACGAUACAUAGCCGACCUGAGAGGGUGAUCGGCCACACUGGGACUGAGACACGGCCCAGACUCCUACGGGAGGCAGCAGUAGGGAAUCUUCGGCAAUGGACGGAAGUCUGACCGAGCAACGCCGCGUGAGGGAAGAAGGUUUUCGAAUCGUAAAGCUCUGUUGUAAGAGAAGAACGAGUGUGAGAGUGGAAAGUUCACACUGUGACGGUAUCUUACCAGAAAGGGACGGCUAACUACGUG